CCUCGGCGGGCCCCUCCGGCUCCCUCCACCGCCUCCUCGGGCGGCGGGCGGCUCCUGCAACGAGGCUCGAGGGCGGGGAGCGCUGCGGCGGCCCGAGCGCGCCCGCGGAGGGAGGGAACCAGAGAGCUGCUCCCACUGACGGGCAGAUGACUACUUCCCGGAACCCUGGAGGCCCGAGCCCAGGUCCAAGGCACUGCUCUUUGGGCUUUCCUACCGCUCUCAACGCUCUUACUCCUGGGUGACGUGCCCGCCGCCUGCUGUCACCGUUCGCGCGCCUAAUUUCGAGGCCCUUGGCUCAAGCGUUAUUCAGACCGCGGGCGCGAGUCUGGAAGGUUUUGGUGCAUUUUCUUAGGUGGUUUCUUUGACAUCCUGCUCUCCCAAGCCCGGAGUGGUACCCAGACAUCAUCAGCCCUCCGCCCCCAACUCUUUCUGGCAUUCCCAGACCCUGCAAAAGACUCUCCUUUCAGGGGAGGAAAUGGAGUUGAUGUUAAUCUGAGACGUGCGAGGAGGGGUUGUUAAUGUCUCACUAAUGUGGAUUCCCACCCGAGUUGUCACAUUGAAGUCAGUGGAUGGAUGGUGGCUGUGGAGGGUGAGGUCAUGGUGAAAAUCCCCCUAAACCGGACACUGUGAAGCUGACUCUUCCCUACAAGGAAGCAGAUAAGCAAACAGACUGAGAACCGGAGCAGGCAAAUUUUCGGCUUCCUGCCAGAUUACAGAGGAUAUGAACAGCCAAGGGACUUUUUUCUGUCCUAAGAGCAGAUUCAGGCUGGGAUACCUGAAAGGGCUGGUAGGGGACAAGCGACAAGUGACAGGUGCGUUGGUAACCUACGUAGCAAGGACCCCAGAAGCCAACUUAUUUAUUCUCAGUAUUUAGUUGUAAGUGGAAACGGCCGGUUUGGUUUGUCUCUCUUCUGGGAAGUGCAGCGGUAGUGCUGCUUGAUUUGGGGCUCUGUGGCUCGAAGCUACCUAUGUGUUGGGGAGUUGAGGUAAGAGGUCAGCACUCUGAGUUGGCCCAUGACAGGUUUAAAUUAAAAAAAUCAGUGCCAGUCUACUGUCAGGUUGGCUUAAUGGCUGAGAAGCCUCAUGACUC